GGGGCCAUAGCUCAGUUGGGAGAGCGCAACACUGGCAGUGUUGAGGUCGGGGGUUCGAAUCCCCCUGGCUCCACCA
rnacentral:tRNA from 3 species